CUGCUAUCGGAUGAUACUAAGCCAUGCGAGUCUUUGUAGUAAUACAAGGCAGACGGCUCAGUAACACGUAGUCAACCUACCCUAUGGACAAGAAUAAUCUCGGGAAACUGGGCAUAAUUCUUGAUAGAUCAUAAUGCCUGGAAUGGUUUAUGGUUAAAAUGAUUCGUCGCCAUAGGAUGGGACUGCGGCCUAUCAGCUUGUUGGUGAGGUAAUGGCCCACCAAGGCGAUUACAGGUACGGGCUCUGAGAGGAGAAGCCCGGAGAUGGGUACUGAGACACGGACCCAGGCCCUAUGGGGCGCAGCAGGCGAGAAAACUUUGCAAUGUGCGAAAGCACGACAAGGUUAAUCCGAGUGAUUUCUGCUAAAGAAAUCUUUUGCCAGUCAUAAAACCACUGGUGAAUAAGGGGUGGGCAAGUUCUGGUGUCAGCCGCCGCGGUAAAACCAGCACCUCAAGUGGUCAGGAUGAUUAUUGGGCCUAAAGCAUCCGUAGCCGGCUUUGUAAGUUUUCGGUUAAAUCCAUGUGCUCAACGCAUGGGCUGCCGAAAAUACUGCAUGGCUAGGGAGUGGGAGAGGUAGACGGUACUCAGUAGGAAGGGGUAAAAUCCUUUGAUCUAUUGAUGACCACCUGUGGCGAAGGCGGUCUACCAGAACACGUUCGACGGUGAGGGAUGAAAGCUGGGGGAGCAAACCGGAUUAGAUACCCGGGUAGUCCCAGCUGUAAACGAUGCAGACUCGAUGAUGCAUUGGCAUAAUAGCCAGUGCAGUGUCGCAGGGAAGCCGUUAAGUCUGCCGCCUGGGAAGUACGUACGCAAGUAUGAAACUUAAAGGAAUUGGCGGGGGAGCACCACAAGGGGUGAAGCCUGCGGUUCAAU
rnacentral:rRNA from 1 species